rnacentral:rRNA from 1 species
UACGAAGGGGGCUAGCGUUGUUCGGAAUUAUCUGGGCGUAAAGCGUCGCGCAGGACGGCCUCUUUAAGUCUGACUGUGAAAAGCCCCCCGGCUCAACCGGGGAGGGCCAUUGGAAACUGGGAGGCUUGAGUAUAGGAGAGAAGAGUGGAAUUCCACGUGUAGCGGUGAAAUGCGUAGAGAUGUGGAGGAACACCAGUGGCGAAGGCGACUCUUUGGCCUAUAACUGACGCUGGAGGCGACGAAAGCGUGGGGAGCAAACAGG